rnacentral:rRNA from 1 species
CCCUUAGAUGUUCUGGGCCGCACGCGCGCUACACUGAUGCAUUCAACGAGUUUCUUCCUGGUCCGAGAGGAAUGGGUAACCUUUUGAAAGUGCAUCGUGAUAGGGAUAGACUAUUGCAAUUAUUGGUCUUCAAUGAGGAAUUCCUAGUAGACGUAGUUCAUCAGACUGCAUCGAUUACGUCCCUGCCCUUUGUACACACCGCCCGUCGCUCCUACCGAUUGAAUGCUCAGGUGAGCCAUUCGGACUUUCAUCAUGCUGGUUUCCAGUUUUGAUGAAGGAAAGUCUUGCGAACCUUAUCAUUUAGAGGAAGGAGAAGUCGUAACA